AUUGAACGCUAGCGGGAUGCUUUACACAUGCAGGUCGAACGGCAGCGCGGACUUCGGUCUGGCGGCGAGUGGCGAACGGGUGAGUAAUGUAUCGGAACGUGCCCAGUAGCGGGGGAUAACUACGCGAAAGCGUAGCUAAUACCGCAUACGCCCUACGGGGGAAAGCAGGGGAUCGUAAGACCUUGCACUAUUGGAGCGGCCGAUAUCGGAUUAGCUAGUUGGUGAGGUAACGGCUCACCAAGGCGACGAUCCGUAGCUGGUUUGAGAGGACGACCAGCCACACUGGGACUGAGACACGGCCCAGACUCCUACGGGAGGCAGCAGUGGGGAAUUUUGGACAAUGGGGGCAACCCUGAUCCAGCCAUCCCGCGUGUGCGAUGAAGGCCUUCGGGUUGUAAAGCACUUUUGGCAGGAAAGAAACGUCGCGGGCUAAUACCCCGUGGAACUGACGGUACCUGUAGAAUAAGCACCGGCUAACUACGUG
rnacentral:rRNA from 1 species